UACGUAGGGGGCUAGCGUUGUCCGGAAUCAUUGGGCGUAAAGAGCGUGUAGGCGGCCCGAUAAGUCCGCUGUGAAAGUCCAGGGCUCAACCCUGGAAUGCCAGUGGAAACUGUCGGGCUAGAGUCCGGAAGAGGCGAGUGGAAUUCCUGGUGUAGCGGUGAAAUGCGCAGAUAUCAGGAGGAACACCAAUGGCGAAGGCAGCUCGCUGGGACGGUACUGACGCUGAGACGCGAAAGCGUGGGGAGCAAACAGG
rnacentral:rRNA from 1 species